rnacentral:lncRNA from 1 species
CCGCCUUGUCAAAACAAGCCACAUGUAGCUAGUGACGAUACACAAAGAUGUUACUGUAUACAUAUAGAUAGCCACACACCCUAACUUCUGCUCUUCAACUUGCAACUCUGCGAGAUAAGUGGGCGCGCAGUGGAUUCUUCAUUACAAUGGUAAGUUCUUGCUUCUCAGACAAAUCAAUAUCAUCUCCAUCCACAGCCUUCCACUCAAAAUUCAAGAUCAAAUUAGCCACAAAAUAUUCCAAAUGAAGCAUUGCUAAACCAUAACCAGGGCAAAUUCUCCUUCCAGCUCCAAAAGGCAUCAUCUUAAUCUCUCUACUUCCUGUUAUAUCAAAUGCUUCCCUUUCACUAUUCAGAAACCUUUCAGGCUUGAAUGCCAUGGGAUCCUCCCACGCCUUCGAAUCCCAACCUAUAUCAGCAACCAAGAAGUUUACAGUCCCAUUUUUAGGAACCAAGAAUCCACCCAGCACCGUAUCUUCAGUCACAGCAUGUGGCAACACCAUACGUGCAGGCGGGUGCCUCCUUAACCCUUCUAAAAUUAUUGCUUUUAGAUAAGGCAUCUUUUGUAAAUCGUCUUCUUUAACCACUUCCUCUCCUUCUCCAACAACCUCUUUGAUUUCCAGGAGCAGCUUCUCCUGAAUUUGUGGAUGCUUAACCAGAUUUGCCAUGAUCCACUGCAAGGCUGUUGUGGUAGUAUCCGUGCCGCCAUUAAGGAACUCGUUGCAUAAACUAACAAUUUCGAGGUCAUUCAGCUUUCGAUUCUCAUCA